GUCCAGGGAUGGGAAACGAACCCACAGUGUUCCGCUUACGGGGCAGAUGCCAUGUCCACUAGGCUACCCUGGA